rnacentral:rRNA from 1 species
UACGAAGGGGGCUAGCGUUGUUCGGAAUCACUGGGCGUAAAGCGCACGUAGGCGGAUGUGCCAGUCAGGGGUGAAAUCCCGGAGCUCAACUCCGGAACUGCCUCUGAUACAGCACGUCUUGAGUUCGAGAGAGGUGGGUGGAAUUCCUAGUGUAGAGGUGAAAAUUCGUAGAUAUUAGGAAGAACACCGGUGGCGAAGGCGGCCCACUGGAUCGGUACUGACGCUGAGGAGCGAAAGCGUGGGGAGCGAACAGG